UACGAAGGGGGCUAGCGUUGCUCGGAAUCACUGGGCGUAAAGCGCACGUAGGCGGAUUGUUAAGUCAGGGGUGAAAUCCUGGAGCUCAACUCCAGAACUGCCUUUGAUACUGGAGGAUCUUGAGUUCGGGAGAGGUGAGUGGAACUGCGAGUGUAGAGGUGAAAUUCGUAGAUAUUCGCAAGAACACCAGUGGCGAAGGCGGCUCACUGGCCCGAUACUGACGCUGAGGACGAAAGCAUGGGGAG
rnacentral:rRNA from 1 species